UCUCCGCCCCCCUGUGCCGCACCACCACCCCGACCCUGUCUCCUAACAGCAGAGGGGCUGGAAAAAUAAGCCGAAAUAUGUCGGUCAAUGGCAGAAAAAAAUCGUUCACUUUCAAGUGAAAGCGUUUCAAUAAGAAAUGAGGUAGAACAAUUUCAGAAGUUGCUCUGAGCUUUUAAGGCUACGAUUGAAGAGGAUCUGCAGAAAUAG